UACGUAGGGGGCAAGCGUUGUCCGGAAUCAUUGGGCGUAAAGCGCGCGUAGGCGGCCCGGUAAGUCCGCUCUGAAAGUCCAGGGCUCAACCCUGGAAAGCGGGUGGAUACUGCCGGGCUAGAAUCCGGAAGAGGCGAGUGGAAUUCCUGGUGUAGCGGUGGAAUGCGCAGAUAUCAGGAGGAACACCGGUGGCGAAGGCGGGUCUCUGGGCAACUACUGACGCUGAGGAGCGAAAGCGUGGGGAGCGAACAGG
rnacentral:rRNA from 1 species